rnacentral:rRNA from 1 species
UUGAAAUUCCUGUACUGCGAUAUAUCAGAAAUGUGGGGACACAGAAGGAAAGUGUGAGCCGGGAAAGGAAAGACCGGUGCAAGCACAGGAGGAGGGAUACAGGCAAAUCCGUAUCCCAAUCCAAUGGUGUUACGCGGAGCGAACAAAAGUAGCGAAGCACACAGACCAUCUGUCGAGAAAAGCCGCUAUUGUGUAUACCGUACCCGUACCGUAAACCGACACAGGUGGAUGAGGAGAGAAUCCUAAGGCCGGCGGGAGAAGCAUUGUUAAGGAACUCGGCAAAAUGACCCCGUAACUUCGGGAGAAGGGGUGCUCACGCAAGUGAGCCGCAGAGAACUGGCCCAAGCAACUGUUUAGCAAAAACACAGGUCUAUGCAAAACCGAAAGGUGAGGUAUAUGGGCUGACGCCUGCCCGGUGCUGGAAGGUUAAGAGGAGAUGUUAGAGCAAUCGAAGCAUUGAAUUUAAGCCCCAGUAAACGGCGGCCGUAACAAUAACGGUCCUAAGGUAGCGAAAUUCCUUGUCGGGUAAGUUCCGACCCGCACGAAAGGCGUAAUGAUUUGGGCACUGUCUCGACAAUGCACCCGGUGAAAUUGAAAUACCAGUGAAGAUGCUGGUUACCUGCGCCAGGACGGAAAGACCCCAUGGAGCUUUACUCUAGCUUGAUACUGGGAUUCGGUAUUGCAUGUACAGGAUAGGUGGGAGACUAAGAGGUGAUGACGCCAGUUGUCACGGAGUCGAUGUUGGGAUACCACCCCUGCAGUACUGGGUUUCUAACCUGCGGCCGUGACCCGGCCGGGGGACAAUGUCUGGUGGGGAGUUUGACUGGGGCGGUCGCCUCCGAAAGGGUAUCGGAGGCGCUCAAAGGUUCCCUCAGAAUGGUUGGAAACCAUUCGAAGAGUGCAAAGGCAGAAGGGAGCUUGACUGCGACACCGACGGGUGGAGCAGGUACGAAAGUAGGACUUAGUGAUCCGGUGGUAUGAAAGUGGGAUUGCCAUCGCUCAACGGAUAAAAGCUACCCUGGGGAUAACAGGCUUAUCACUCCCAAGAGUUCACAUCGACGGAGUGGUUUGGCACCUCGAUGUCGGCUCAUCGCAUCCUGGGGCUGUAGUAGGUCCCAAGGGUUGGGCUGUUCGCCCAUUAAAGCGGUACGCGAGCUGGGUUCAGAACGUCGUGAGACAGUUCGGUCCCUAUCCGGCGUGGGCGUAGGAUAUCUGAGAGGAGCUGUCCUUAGUACGAGAGGACCGGGAUGGACUGACCUCUGGUGCAUCGGUUGAGCCACCAGGCUCAUGGCCGAGUAGCCAAGUCGGGACGGGAUAAACGCUGAAGGCAUCUAAGCGUGAAGCCCCCCUCAAGAUGAGAUAUCCCAUAGAGUAAUCUAGUAAGACCCCUUGAAGACGACGAGGUAGAUAGGCAGAAGGUGGAAGUGUGGUGACAUAUGGAGCUGAUCUGUACUAAUAGGUCGAGGGCUUAAC